rnacentral:rRNA from 1 species
GAUUAACGCUGGCGGCGUGCAUAACACAUGCAAGUCGAACGAUGAAGAUUAAAGGAUUUCUUCGGAAUGACAUUAAUUGGAUUAGUGGCGGACGGGUGAGUAACGCGUGAGUAACCAGCCUUACACAAGGGGAUAGCCGUUGGAAACGACGAAUAAUACCCUAUAACAUUAACCUAUCGCAUGAUAGGUUAAUCAAAGAUUUAUCGGUGUAAGAUGGACUCGCGUCUGAUUAGCUAGUUGGUGGGGUAACAGCCUACCAAGGCAACGAUCAGUAGCCGGCUUGAGAGAGUGUACGGCCACAUUGGGACUGAGACACGGCCCAGACUCCUACGGGAGGCAGCAGUGGGGAAUUUUGCACAAUGGGGGAAACCCUGAUGCAGCGACGCCGCGUGAUUUAGAAGGCCUUCGGGUUGUAAAAAUCUUUUGUAUGGGAAGAAAAUGACAGUACCAUACGAAUAAGGACCGGCUAAUUACGUGCCAGCAGCCGCGGUAAU